GAUGAACGCUGGCGGCGUGCCUAAUACAUGCAAGUCGAGCGAACAGACGAGGAGCUUGCUCCUCUGACGUUAGCGGCGGACGGGUGAGUAACACGUGGGUAACCUACCUAUAAGACUGGGAUAACUUCGGGAAACCGGAGCUAAUACCGGAUAAUAUAUUGAACCGCAUGGUUCGAUAGUGAAAGACGGCUUUGCUGUCACUUAUAGAUGGACCUGCGCCGGAUUAGCUAGUUGGUAAGGUAACGGCUUACCAAGGCAACGAUUCGUAGCCGACCUGAGAGGGGGGAUGGGCACAACUGAAAGUGAGACCGGUCCAGGCUCCCACGGGAGGGAAGCGUAGGGGAACGUCCGGCAAUGGCCGAAGCCCUGACGAGGAACGCCGCGGUGGUGAAUAAGGUCUUCGGAUCGGAAAACCUUUUUAAUAAGGAAAAAACAAAGGGGAAGGUACCAGUGCCGGUCUUAAGGGUCCCAAUCAGAAAAGCAAGGCCAACUUCCGU
rnacentral:rRNA from 1 species